rnacentral:antisense_RNA from 1 species
CUUCACCGAGCCCAGCCACAGGGGCCCUUCCGAGCCGCGGCCGCGGCCGUAGGUGGCGAGCAGCGCCUGCGCCUC